AUGCCGUCUUGCAGACCAGCAAGGAGGAGGGUCAGGUUUAUAGUCGACCAAGCACAUUCACAGGGCUCCUCUAACGAACACCGGGCACUUCUGGGAAGGGAAAGGAGCGAUCACGGAAAAGGGAAGCAGGCGGUUUCGUUCCACCCUGAGCUGACCGGGCGUUCCCGGGUGCUCGGCUUCCCUGAAGCAGGCGGCGUCCGCCCUGGGCGGGCCGGGCUUUCCCGGCUGCCCAACUUCACGGUCGUACGUCGUCCUUCUCCCAAAGACCUGCUGCCAGUUCCUCAGAAGCACGCGAAAAUCCCUCCAACGACUGAAAAAUCAAGAAGCUGCAAAAUCAACUUUUCUACUUCUUCACAAACAAAAGGGGGGAGAUGCUGCUGCCCCUCGGAACAACUUGUUACUUAAACUGUAACCCUUGGAAGAUUUUACUAGUUACCAAGCACAUUUAGAUAUGGCCUUAAGAAAUACAUACACUGGCAACAGGUCUUUGGGGAGAAGGACGAUGUACGACCGUGAAGCUGGGCAGAUGGGGAUGCCCAGCUUGCUCAGGGCAGAACGCUGUUUCUUCACAGAAGCUGGGCAGCUGGGGAUACCUGGCUCACUCAGGGCGGAACGCCGCCCCUUCACAGAAGCCAGGCAGCCGGGAACACCCGGCCCGCCCAGGGCGGAACCCCCCCUGCUUCAGGGAAGCCGAGCACCCGGGAACGCCCGGUCAGCUCAGGGUGGAACGAAACGG
rnacentral:lncRNA from 1 species